AUGAACGCUGGCGGCGUGCCUAAUACAUGCAAGUCGAGCGAACGGACGAGAAGCUUGCUUCUCUGAUGUUAGCGGCGGACGGGUGAGUAACACGUGGAUAACCUACCUAUAAGACUGGGAUAACUUCGGGAAACCGGAGCUAAUACCGGACAAUAUUUUGAACCGCAUGGUUCAAAAGUGAAAGACGGUCUUGCUGUCACUUAUAGAUGGAUCCGCGCUGCAUUAGCUAGUUGGUAAGGUAACGGCUUACCAAGGCAACGAUGCAUAGCCGACCUGAGAGGGUGAUCGGCCACACUGGAACUGAGACACGGUCCAGACUCCAACGGGAGGCAGCAGUAGGGAAUCUUCCGCAAUGGGCGAAAGCCUGACGGAGCAACGCCGCGGGAGUGAUGAAGGUCUUCGGAUCGUAAAACGCUGUUAUUAGGGAAGAACAUAUGUGUAAGUAACUGUGCACAUCCUGACGGUACCUAAUCAGAAAGCCACGGCUAACUACGUG
rnacentral:rRNA from 1 species